rnacentral:lncRNA from 1 species
GGGGGCGAGAGGGCGGUGAGGGGGACGGGUAUCUCUUAAAGCGGAAAUGUUAACACCCUCCUAACGGCGACUUGGAGGAUGGUGGGGCCCAGCACUGUUUCCCCGUAAAGGGUUCCCAGCCGCCUGCGUCCGAAGACGCCGGAGGGGUCGUGCGGCGGCCGCCCGCGGGGGUCAGUCUGGUGUGUGGGUGAGAAGUGGGGCUGGGGUCGCCGUGGUCGGGACUCGCGAGCCGGACCCCCGCGCAGCCCGCGGGGGGGAGCGCGCGUCUCCCUUCCGGAGGGAGCCGGAUAAACGAGUCACGUUUUACUACCACAUCAGCGGAUCCGUUCCAAAAGAAUCCUUGGCAUUUGGCCGCAGCGCGGGGCCCUAACGGCUGCGGAGCGCGCCCCGCGGAAGGCAGUGGCGCCGUUAUUGCCACUCCCGAGCGCGGCGACCUGGGACAGCGGAGAAGCGUGGGGGGCCCCGGAGACGGACGGUUGAGCGGAGCCGCAGGGCCCAACUGCAGUUGCCGGGUCCGGGUGGUGGACACGCUGAGCUGUCCCAGUGGCCGGCAGGUGGGAGGACCAGCCCGCGAGCUGGGAUCGGGUCCAGGAAGCAGUACCUUGAAGAGGAGUUGGAGGGAGAGUCAAUUCUUAGUAUAGCAGAGAGAUGGAGCGCAACGAACAGGUUGUGAGUAUUAAGAAUUUAUGUCAGAUUGGUAUCAAACUGUUUUGUCAUGGUUGUGUUAAUAAUCAUGAUACCUGUCAUCUUCUUAAACUUUUGUUAUCUUGAUCAUGUAUGACAUACAUAAGUGGUGGUGGGAGAGACUAUUGCAGCCAGUGGACUUGGUACAUUCUCACGUUGUCUUUUCACAAUUAACUAGUAUUUGCCCCUUAGGGUGUUUUGUGCUUUCAUAUUAUCAAGAGUAAUAAGAAUGAUAAAAUAGCCGUGUUCAGCAUUGUAAUUGCAAACAGGUCUUGGUAAAAUUAUACAUAACUGGUCUUGGGGGACCAUCCUCGAAAAGAAGCAUGGCUGUGUAGGUGUGAAGAGUAAUACAGAGUAAUAGAUGAAUUCACAAUAGGAAGAAGUCUUCUUAUAGAGCAGACUCUAGAGUGUAACUGAGUCCCUAUUACCUUAGAAGCAUUGUGAUAAGAAUCUCCCAAAAGGCAUUAACCCUUUGGAAUGAGAUGGGGUAGGGUAGACAUCAUUGGGUGGCUAAAAUCACAUGUUGCCUGAAGUCAGUGGUUUACCACAUGUGAUCACAUC